rnacentral:rRNA from 1 species
GCAUAUCAAUAAGCGGAGGAAAAGAAACCAACAGGGAUUGCCCUAGUAACGGCGAGUGAAGCGGCAACAGCUCAAAUUUGAAAUCUGGCUUCGGCCCGAGUUGUAAUUUGCAGAGGAAGCUUCUGGCGCGGCGCUGUCCGAGUCCCCUGGAACGGGGCGCCAUAGAGGGUGAGAGCCCCGUAUGGAUGGAUGCCUAGCCUGUGUGAAGCUCCUUCGACGAGUCGAGUAGUUUGGGAAUGCUGCUCAAAAUGGGAGGUAAAUUCCUUCUAAAGCUAAAUAUUGGCCAGAGACCGAUAGCGCACAAGUAGAGUGAUCGAAAGAUGAAAAGCACUUUGAAAAGAGGGUUAAAUAGCACGUGAAAUUGUUGAAAGGGAAGCGCUUGUGACCAGACUUGCGCCAGGCUGAUCAUCCGGUGUUCUCACCGGUGCACUCUGCCUGGCUCAGGCCAGCAUCGGUUUUGGUGGGGGGAUAAAGACCUAGGGAACGUAGCUCUUUCGGGAGUGUUAUAGCCCUGGGUGUAAUGCCCCCGCUGGGACCGAGGUUCGCGCAUCUGCAAGGAUGCUGGCGUAAUGGUCAUCAGCGACCCGUCUUGAAACACGGACCAAGGAGUCAAGGUUUUGCGCGAGUGUUUGGGUGUUAAACCCGCACGCGUAAUGAAAGUGAACGUAGGUGAGAGCUUCGGCGCAUCAUCGACCGAUCCUGAUGUAUUCGGAUGGAUUUGAGUAGGAGCGUUAAGCCUUGGACCCGAAAGAUGGUGAACUAUGCUUGGAUAGGGUGAAGCCAGAGGAAACUCUGGUGGAGGCUCGCAGCGGUUCUGACGUGCAAAUCGAUCGUCAAAUCUGAGCAUGGGGGGCGAAAGACUAAUCGAACCAUCUAGUAGCUGGUUACCGCCGAAG